rnacentral:rRNA from 1 species
GACGAAGGGGGCUAGCGUUGUUCGGAAUUACUGGGCGUAAAGCGCGUGUAGGCGGUUUGCCAAGUCGGGUGUGAAAGCCUUGGGCUUAACCCAAGAAAUGCACUCGGUACUGGCAGACUAGAGGACCGGAGAGGAUAGUGGAAUUCCCAGUGUAGUGGUGAAAUACGUAGAGAUUGGGAGGAAUACCUAUGGCGAAAGCAGGCUACUGGACCAUCACUGACUCUGAUCUGCGAAAGCUAGGGGAGCAAACAGG